GUUGAACGCUGGCGGCAUGCCUAACACAUGCAAGUCGAGCGAGCGGCGCACGGGUGAGUAAUGUAUGGGAACCUGCCUUAUGGAGGGGGAUAACUACUGGAAACGGUAGCUAAUACGGCAUACCAUCAGCUGAACCCAUAUGGGAUUAGCUAGUAGGUGAGGUAACGGCUUACCUAGGCGACGAUCCCUAGCUGGUCUGAGAGGAGGAUCAGCCACACUGGGACUGAGACACGGCCCAGACUCCUACGGGAGGCAGCAGUGGGGAAUAUUGCACAAUGGGCGCAAGCCUGAUGCAGCCAUGCCGCGUGUAUGAAGAAGGCCUUCGGGUUGUAAAGUACUUUCAGUCGGGAGGCGUUACCGACAGAAGAAGCACCGGCUAACUCCGUGCCAGCAGCCGCGGUAAUAC
rnacentral:rRNA from 1 species